rnacentral:rRNA from 1 species
AAAUUGAAGAGUUUGAUCAUGGCUCAGAUUGAACGCUGGCGGCAGGCCUAACACAUGCAAGUCGAACGGUAACAGGAAGCAGCUUGCUGCUUUGCUGACGAGUGGCGGACGGGUGAGUAAUGUCUGGGAAACUGCCCGAUGGAGGGGGAUAACUACUGGAAACGGUAGCUAAUACCGCAUAACGUCGCAAGACCAAAGAGGGGGACCUUAGGGCCUCUUGCCAUCGGAUGUGCCCAGAUGGGAUUAGCUAGUAGGUGGGGUAACGGCUCACCUAGGCGACGAUCCCUAGCUGGUCUGAGAGGAUGACCAGC